rnacentral:lncRNA from 1 species
CCGUACUGCGUGUGAUGUUCCCGAAUCUGCUUCUCUUCAAGGCCGCUGUGCUCUCCUUGGAGCGGAGUGUGUGGACUGUGCAGCUCAUCGGAUGUGCCCACAAACACACUGGUGCCCACGGGCACACUUCCAAGUUGAACAGCCUGGAAGGAGGCGAGGACGAGCCCUGCAGGGAGGCCAGUGAACCAGGAAGCAACCGAGAGGAGGAACGGCAGAACCUGCUCCCUGAUCAGUCAAGCAAGGGAGAGGGUGGCAUGUCCCACAUGAAGAGCACGUGAGCCUGGGUGACAAGAAGGUGGCUGCUGGUGGUCAGAGACACUGGGCUACCAGGGAAAUUCUAACAGGUAAGAGAAAAUGUGCAGCUCCAUGUGGGGCAGCUCGAGAGGCCAGGAAACAUUAGCUUGUGGCAGGUGCACUUUCUCUGCCUUUGAUCGUUGCCCAUCUGGGCAGCUGGCUGACACUGACUGGAAGGAGAAAGGGCCAGGAGGCAUUGACUUCCCCUCCCACGGCCAGAGGCGGCCAGCGUCCUAAUGAAUGAGGGUGAGUGAAGGAAGCAUUUGGAAUUUCACAGAGAGGCCCAUUUCCUUCCGCACAUAUGAAGCACCUGCUAGUGCUGUGUACUAGACGCUGGAAAACUGAAGUUCCAGGAGGAGGGGACGCUCGUAGAAACAAUAAACGAACAACAUGCAGGUGGGAGAGCCACACACAGGACCCAGAAGGUCUAGAAGAAGCUGCGGUGUGAACCAAAGAGGAAGGGGAGGAAGAGGAAGAGGAAGGGGAAGGAAGCAGCUUAAGGGGAAGGAAGCAGCUUAGGAUUAAAGGAACAAAAGAGAAAUGAAGCUCUAGGCACACAGGC